rnacentral:rRNA from 1 species
UACGUAGGCAGCAAGCGUUGUUCGGAGUUACUGGGCGUAAAGGGUGUGUAGGCGGUUGUUUAAGUUUGGUGUGAAAUCUCCCGGCUCAACUGGGAGGGUGCGCCGAAUACUGAAUGACUUGGAGUGCGGGAGAGGAAAGUGGAAUUCCUGGUGUAGCGGUGAAAUGCGUAGAUAUCAGGAAGAACACCGGUGGUGUAGACGGCUUUCUGGACCGUAACUGACGCUGAGGCGCGAAAGCUAGGGUAGCAAACGGG